UNUGACUUGAGUGCAGAAGGGGAGAGUGGAAUUCCAUGUGUAGCGGUGAAAUGCGUAGAUAUAUGGAGGAACACCAGUGGCGAAAGCGGCUCUCUGGUCUGUCACUGACGCUGAGGCUCGAAAGCGUGGGUAGCGAACAGGAUUAGAUACCCUGGUAGUNCACGCCGUAAACGAUGAGUGCUAGGUGUUAGGCCCUUUCCGGGGCUUAGUGCCGGAGCUAACGCAAUAAGCACUCCGCCAGGGGAGUACGACCGCAAGGUUGAAACUCAAAGGAAUUGACGGGGGCCCGCACAAGCGGUGGAGCAUGUGGUUUAAUUCGAAGCAACGCGAAGAACCUUACCAGGUCUUGACAUCCCGAUGCUAUUCUUAGAGAUAGGAAGUUACUUCGGUACAUCGGAGACAGGUGGUGCAUGGUUGUCGUCAGCUCGUGUCGUGAGAUGUUGGGUUNNNNNNNNCAACGAGCGCAACCCUUAUUGUUAGUUGCCAUCAUUAAGUUGGGCACUCUAGCGAGACUGCCGGUAAUAAACCGGAGGAAGGUGGGGAUGACGUCAAAUCAUCAUGCCCCUUAUGACCUGGGCUACACACGUGCUACAAUGGUCGGUACAACGAGUUGCGAGCCGGUGACGGCAAGCUAAUCUCUGAAAGCCGAUCUCAGUUCGGAUUGGAGGCUGCAACUCGCCUCCAUGAAGUCGGAAUCGCUAGUAAUCGCGGAUCAGCACGCCGCGGUGAAUACGUUCCCGGGCCUU
rnacentral:rRNA from 1 species